UAUACAUGCAAGUCGAGCGGACAGAAGGGAGCUUGCUCCCGGAUGUUAGCGGCGGACGGGUGAGUAACACGUGGGUAACCUGCCUGUAAGACUGGGAUAACUCCGGGAAACCGGAGCUAAUACCGGAUAGUUCCUUGAACCGCAUGGUUCAAGGAUGAAAGACGGUUUCGGCUGUCACUUACAGAUGGACCCGCGGCGCAUUAGCUAGUUGGUGAGGUAACGGCUCACCAAGGCGACGAUGCGUAGCCGACCUGAGAGGGUGAUCGGCCACACUGGGACUGAGACACGGCCCAGACUCCUACGGGAGGCAGCAGUAGGGAAUCUUCCGCAAUGGACGAAAGUCUGACGGAGCAACGCCGCGUGAGUGAUGAAGGUUUUCGGAUCGUAAAGCUCUGUUGUUAGGGAAGAACAAGUGCAAGAGUAACUGCUUGCACCUUGACGGUACCUAACCAGAAAGCCACGGCUAACUACGUGCCAGCAGCCGCGGUAAUACGUAGGUGGCAAGCGUUGUCCGGAAUUAUUGGGCGUAAAGGGCUCGCAGGCGGUUUCUUAAGUCUGAUGUGAAAGCCCCCGGCUCAACCGGGGAGGGUCAUUGGAAACUGGGAAACUUGAGUGCAGAAGAGGAGAGUGGAAUUCCACGUGUAGCGGUGAAAUGCGUAGAGAUGUG
rnacentral:rRNA from 1 species